UAGUUUUAGGUGUAAAUUUUGCACGUUAAAUUUUGAAUUUAAAAGAAAUAAAUUAAUUUUAUUAAAACUAA
rnacentral:tRNA from 1 species